CGCUUCCUGCCGUGUUCGCGAAUGCCAUAAAAUCCUUGAACCAUUUAUGCGCAUAGGUUACGGACAUUUGUUCGAUGGGCGUGCGCGUCGCUAGUCCGAUGAACCCGAAAUUGAACUGACUGUAGCCACCUUGAACCUUUGGUUCAGGAUGCCGGCAUAGCGGCACCGGCGGGAACCUU
rnacentral:other from 1 species